GUAGCUAGCUAACGGCCAUGGAGGAGGGUGAAAGGAUAACAGCCCCAACUGUCAAAAGCUGUGAAAGCCUGUUUGCCGAUGAAGAGGUCCCAAUGAAGAAGAGCAGUGGUUCUCAGUCCUUGUCCUGGGGACUCAAAUGGAUACCUUGUAACUGGAGAUUCCUUCAAAACGAUUGCCUACAGUUACCGUGUAGGACACUGCAAGGUUGGGUGACCAGGGCCAUCUGGGACUGCCUCCUGGGGGAAUUCAGGUGUGUGAAGGCUACCUGUGUCCUGCAUAACUUCAUAAGGAUGGACAUGAGGACUCGCCGCCGUGUGCCAGAGGAGAAGUCUACUGCUCUGCAGGAUGUUUCAAGGAUGGAGUCCAAGAACGCAGCAAGAGAGGAAAUCCAUGUGCGGGAAGUCUUCACCUCCUACUUAUUUGAAGAGUGUGCUGUUCCCUGGCAACACCAUAGACUACACUAUGCACAACCAACGGCUCUUUUAAGAGCCAUUCACACUGCAAUAAGACUAUUCUUCCUUUUACUUAGCUAUGUCAGCUGCAGUUAUUCAAUUCCCAGUUUCUCUCUUUUUGAUUUCUACUUCUCAGGUGAGGGAGCUGUUUCAGUAAGGGUGUGAUGUCUGUACAAAAGCAAACAGGCUAUUUUAAGUCACCCAUAUUGAAAAAUGUAGAACAAUUAGACACCCUAUAACCAACCCAUACCUACACACUCAUGUAUCAUUCUGAUUGAUGCACUGUGUUGUGCAGUAAGCAGGCUCAGGUGUAUAACUGUGGCUUCUUCCACCUUCAAAGAAUAGGCAAGAGGGCCAACCAUGGAGAAUAGUAAGACACUUCAUUAUUUAUAUAACUAUACUAUGUUGUUUGUCCUCGUGUGUAUGUGCAUGUUUUUCAGUAUAAGGUACUCUGCAGCCACUUAGUGUGGACACCAGGUGAGGCCACACACACAGAUUCCUGUUGAACACUGUCUCUUUAACUACCUUAUUUUCUCAAUAACAGUCGUUCUCCUUCACUUCAUCCCUCUCUCCCCCCUUCUCCCUAAAUCCUCUAGGUUAUAUCAGCUGUGUUGGUGAACCCCUCCCGCAUCUGAACUGGCUACAUAAAGGGCACAGCAUGAUCAGAGGGGAGAGGUGAGAGGUCACUUGUUCGGGUCAACAGGAAGUAUUAUUAAAGAGAUGCUUUACGUUGAAAUACAAAUAGAUGUAGUAGUCCCAGAGUUAAUGAUCCAAGGUCAGUUUUGCAUUUCACCUCCUGAUGAUUAUGUUGACUGACAAUGUUAGAAAAAAACAUGGCUUAAACAUGCUCUCUCUCUCCAUCUGUCUCUUGUCUGUAGGUAUGUUUUGAUGUGAGAAAGGAUGACAACACCCAGUCCCGUCAUCGCCACCUCGCCCGCUCUUAAGAUAACCUUCGGGCCUACUGGGAGCCCGAGGCUGGUUAGGAGACACCACUAGAGACAUUAUGUAAUUGUGAUGAACUGAGAGAAUAUUAGGGUAGCACUGUGAUUCAUUAAUCAUAUACUGUCUUUCCUGCUCCUCUGUUCUUACCUCUUUCACUUUCUGUCUUUUACACAUCUCUCGCCACCUCCUCUUUCUUCCUCUGUUUUUAUAAUGCACACCAGAGGUGCAUUGAAGUACAGAUUGAACUUGUAUUUAUAAUAUAACAAUUAUAAUAUUUAUAAUGAAUGUAUUAAGUAUUUAUAACACUUGGAAGUUCUUUCAAUAAAGCGUUUCACAUUCUCGACUGGUUGAAAUUAAGUCUCUCAUUUGAUUAAAUACUACACCUAUCCUGUGUUUAUCAGAUCAAUACAGAUGAAGGAAAUUAGAUAUUGAGAUGAACCAGUUUUAAAGUAUUUAUAUGAUCCAUAGGAAGUGUAGUGUACUGUUUUUUAAAUUAUAUUUCUGUAUAAAUGAAUUACAAAUCAGCCUUUAACUAGUUAAAUCAUGUUUCUAGUCUAAUGCAGUUACAAUGUGUAACCAUUGAUGUCGCAGGACCAAGAUUGGUAA
rnacentral:lncRNA from 8 species